GGUAGGAAUGGAUUUUGAUAAAACCCUAUUCAACAAGUGAAUGGCGGUUAAUAAGGCAUGUCCCCAAAGAUAUAAGGAUAAAUCAGUGAAGCUCAUCUGAACCUGGCCAUAUCCAAUAAGAUCCUAUUAUUCCUUUCGGAUACUCCGUUGAGUUGAGGUGUUCCAGGAAGAGUUCAUUGAGAGACUUAUACUAUUAUCUUUAAGAUAUCUCAAAAAUUUUUUAUUAAGAUAUUCACCUCCUCGAUC
rnacentral:lncRNA from 1 species